GUGGCUGAGAAAAUUGCUAAUGCGAUUGG
rnacentral:sRNA from 1 species